rnacentral:misc_RNA from 1 species
GAAAGUUAAGUACUCUCUGCAAGUACCAACAAAAGCUUCUUGAACUUGAUACAAUAAUGACCAACCAAAUAUGGCUAACCUUUCCCAAAAAUAUAAACAGAACUAUAUGAACAACUUAAUAAGCCAUCAGCCAAAUCCUGGAGGCACUUCAGGAUCUUCAUCAUUAACAUCAUCUGGAUUCUUCUCUAUUGUGCCUAUAGCAAAGCCAGGUGGCGCACCCACAUCCACACUUUCGGGUAUCAAAGGGUCAAGUGAGCAGUUGUUCU